CCCUUAGAUGUCCGGGGCUGCACGCGCGCUACACUGUAGAAAGCAGCGUGCUUUAAAACCUUUCCUGAAAAGGAUGGGUAACCCCAGCAAAAUUCUACGUGCUUGGGAUAGAGAUUUGCAAUUUUCUCUCUUGAACGAGGAAUUCCCAGUAAGUGCGAGUCAUCAGCUCGCGUUGAUUACGUCCCUGCCCUUUGUACACACCGCCCGUCGCUACUACCGAUUGGGAAAAUUUUAGAGAGUCCUGGACUGAGGAUUGUUCGGCUUCACGGCCUUACUUUCGUCGGGAAAGAAUUCGAUAAUAUUUUUCUAGAGGAAGUAAAAGUCGUAACA
rnacentral:rRNA from 1 species